rnacentral:rRNA from 1 species
CGUAGGUGGCAAGCGAUACUCGGAAUCACUAGGCGUAAAGCGCAGGUAGGAGGUUUGGAAAGUCUCUUGUGAAAGCUCCCGGCUUAACUGGGAGAGGUCAAGGGAAACUGCCAGGCUGGAGUGCGGUAGAGGUAGCUGGAAUUCCCGGUGUAGCGGUGAAAUGCGUAGAUAUCGGGAGGAAUACCUAUGGCGAAAGCAGGCUACUGGACCGUCACUGACUCUGAUCUGCGAAAGCUAGGGGAGCAAACAGGAUUAGAUACCCUGGUAGUCCUAGCCCUAAACGAUGCUCAUUAGGUGUGGGAGGUAUCGACCCCUUCCGCGCCGUAGCUAACGCAUUAAAUGAGCCGCCUGGGGAGUACGGCCGCAAGGUUG